UACGGGGGGGGCAAGCGUUGUUCGGAAUUACUGGGCGUAAAGGGCUCGUAGGCGGCCAACUAAGUCAGACGUGAAAUCCCUCGGCUUAACCGGGGAACUGCGUCUGAUACUGGAUGGCUAGAGGUUGGGAGAGGGAUGCGGAAUUCCAGGUGUAGCGGUGAAAUGCGUAGAGAUCGGGAGGAACACCAGUGGCGAAGGCGGCUACCUGGACCAGCACUGACACUGAGGCACGAAAGCGUGGGGAGCAAACAGG
rnacentral:rRNA from 1 species